UCAGCAGCCGCGGUAAUUCCAGCUCCAAUAGCGUAUAUUAAAGUUGUUGCAGUUAAAAAGCUCGUAGUUGAACCUUGGGCCUGGCUGGCCGGUCUGCCUCACCGAAUGAACAGGUCCGGCCGGGCCUUUCCCUCUGGGGAGCCGCAUGCCCUUCACUGGGUGUGUCGGGGAACCAGGACUUUUACUGUGAAAAAAUUAGAGUGUUCAAAGCAGGCAUAUGCUCGAAUACAUUAGCAUGGAAUAAUAGAAUAGGACGUCGCGGUUCUAUUUUGUUGGUUUCUAGGACCGCCGUAAUGAUUAAUAGGGACAGUCGGGGGCAUCAGUAUUCAAUCGUCAGAGGUGAAAUUCUUGGAUCGAUUGAAGACUAACUACUGCGAAAGCAUUUGCCAAGGAUGUUUUCAUUAAUCAGGAACGAAAGUUAGGGGAUCGAAAACGAUCAGAUACCGUUGUAGUCUUAACCAUAAACUAUGCCGACUAGUGGAUCGGGCGGUGUUAUUUCUUGACCCGCUCGGCACCUUACACGAAAGUAAAGUUUUUGGGUUCUGGGGGGAGUAUGGUCGCAAGGCUGAAACUUAAAGAAAUUGACGGAAGGGCACCACAAGGGGUGGAGCCUGCGGCUUAAUUUGACUCAACACGGGA
rnacentral:rRNA from 1 species